rnacentral:lncRNA from 1 species
GAAUUACCUUUGAUAAUUCAUUAAAAUGCACUGGUGAAGGUAAUAUAUUUUUUAGUUGAAUUUACAAAAUAUGUGAAUUAAAAUAAUGAUGAGUGUUAUGAAUGAAAGGUUAAUUUAUGCAUUAUUUAGCACUUAUCACACCCCCCAACCUGCAUUUUGCUAGUCCUCGAGCAAAAUAAAAACUAACUCACUUUCGCAGGAAUCGCGAUUGCAUUUACCGUAUGCAAUAAGGCUUUAAACCCCUAAGUGGCCCUAGUGGACGAGUUUUGUCUCGUGAGGGUUUCCGGCUCAGAUACCCACAAACUGUUGUCGAAAGAAUUUAUUUUAUUAUUUUAUAAAAUCUAAUUUCAAAUGCAUUAAUGCCAAGAAUUUCAAAAGCAUACAAAGUUUUAAUUACUAAGUCAGCCCAAAUCCU